rnacentral:lncRNA from 1 species
UCGACAUUUAGAGUCAAGGUUAAUGCUCAACACGUGCUUUUAAAUGUGAUUGAACCACGUUGAUAUCACAUGCGAGUUUCGGUAUAAUUGGUAAAGACCUUGUGUUCAAUGUCGCACAGCAAUCAUCCCUGCUACUGUGUUCGGUAAAAAUGUCUUUUCGGCUUGAGAACCCAACUUGGGCUAUGUUUCCCAGCUUCUCCGAGUGGAUGCUUGCAAGGUGUUUGUAAGAAUCCUCUCAGAAAGUCCGAUGAAAGUUCAAGCCGUGAAUGGGCGUAGGGCAGUGUCUGAGGUGGCCGCUAAUUACCCAAAGUGUCAAAGAUUUAUUUGGUUAGCAUAACGUAAUUCGAUUGCUUUCAACAACACAGCAAACAUGCGAUUGCUCAUCAAGUUUAUCAUCAGCAUCUUGGAAGAUCUUUCCACAAAGGCUUAAUAAACUAUGGACGGAUGGAGUUAGUCUUGGAUUGAUGAAUCUGAAUUGGAUCAAUUGAGUUUGAGAUCGAUUUUAAAGUUUAUCAUUCAAGUUCUGUUUAAAUCGUGUUAUCUUGUAUAUUUAUUUUAAGGUCAAUCAUUCUAAAUUUAGUUAAUUUUGUGUUAUAGUCAUACAUAUUUACCUAUCAAACCUUUUUGUCGGGUAAUCUCAAACUCAAGUCAUUUUAAGUUACUUGUUCAAACUAUUACGGAUUGGAUUCCGAAUUUAUAGGUCUAGUUCUCCCAUGCUACAUUGGCCUCCAUGUACCGGACAGCCAAGAACCAGCCGAAGCAAUGCUACAGCCUACAAGGCCCAUUAUGAAGCAUUAGACACACUUUAAC